AACGAACGCUGGCGGCAGGCUUAACACAUGCAAGUCGAACGCACCUUCGGGUGAGUGGCAGACGGGUGAGUAACGCGUGGGAACCUACCCAUUGGUACGGAAUAACCCGGGGAAACCCGUGCUAAUACCGUAUACGCCCUGGUUUUAGGAUCAGGGGAAAGAUUCAUCGCCGAUGGAUGGGCCCGCGUCGGAUUAGCUUG
rnacentral:rRNA from 1 species